AUCUAUGAAAUGAAUGGUGAACGUUAAAUAGGGAUCACAUGACCCACUAGUCCACAAAUCAGUUGUGCCAGAGAAAAAGGAAGCUUUAGUAACAGCGGGCUGAACUAUAUAUCAGAAUACAGUAACAGAAUAUCAUACUCUGAGAAGUGUGUUCUCCUUUGUACAGUACCUCAUACUUUGGAUUUAAUUUUGACAACAAACGUUUAAAUCCUGGCUAAGUACCAGUCAAAAUGGGCAAAGCACCCUUUGCCAUGUAGUAAGUUACAGCCAUAUUUAACUCUUUUACCUCAGAACUGUGAGUACUGUACUUAGAUGUAGCCUCUUUAAUGUUUCCUGUAGGUAAGCUGUAUCAUACUAGGCUGCUUAUCAGCAAAAGAUUCUCCUCUUUUACUUGGUAUCUCGACCAGUGCUAACUGAGAAUAAAUGGCUGGAUGGUUGUCUCGUAAAUUUUGAAUUAAGUUUGUUGUAUUACUUUUAUUUGCUUGAACACCUUUGCCACAUUUUAGACACGUGAGUCCCUCUCUCACUUUCAGUGACUUUCCCGUUUUCAUCUGACCUUAUAUCAAACUCCCUUCCACAAGCAGCUCUUUGUGUUUUUCUUUGAGAUCAAGCCACAUUUGAUGCGCCUGGUAUAGACUCUAGAGAUUGCCUGCCUUGCUGCCAUUACUAAGUAGACAUGUACUGUGAUAGUUGUGGUGAAACAAUUUUUUUUUAUUAAAGUAAUAUGUGGUUAUAAUAGUUUAUGCAAAACCGGUUUAUGGCACAUCACUAAAAGGGAUAAUAUUGAUGCAUGUAUGAAUGAUAUUUUUAAAGGAGAAUGUGUUGUAUUCGAAGGGUUCAAGUUGAGUUGGCACAGGAAGUAAAUCAAUGUUUGCAUCACGAAAUGUCAGUCCUAGCCACACACAAAAUGUCAUUCCUAGCCACACCCAGAAUGGUGGCAGAGUGCAAGCAAACUCUUUUAUUGAGCGUUUUUUUCACCUCUAAGACCUUUUAUUGUCUGUUUUAUCCUUACUUUGGAUACUACUACCUUUAUUUAUCACUAACCGGACCUUUUCUUUGUCAUAAAGCUCAUAAGGAUGACCCCAGAUACGGAAAAUAGCAACAUAGAUUGAGUAUGAUGAAGAAUAGCAGCUAUCAUGAAGGCUGCAGACAGACAUUAUCACAUAGGAAUUGUGUCCUUGUACUAUAGACUGCUAGUUGACUACCUGCUUUUCUAAAGGAACUUAACUGUUUGCUUUUAUUUUAUAAAAUAAUAAACAAAAUAAUAAUAAGAUGCUAAUGGUAUUCACGAGUGUGAUGUACUAGUGUGAAUGUAAUGAUUUAUCAUGGCGGCUCCCUUUGAACUAGAGCAAGAGAACCCAUGUAGAACCUUCCAGAGUACCUAGAGACUCAAAAAUUGCUAAAGAUUUUUGGAAGAACCCAUUAUGCAACUAUGCUAAGUUUCAAAGUGCGAGCUUCAGUAAUAAAAAAGUUAUAAGGGGUUGUACUUGGGUAGCUCAACUUGAACGGACUAAUGUUAUGAAAACUAAAUCAUCUAAAUGAUGUCAAAAAAUUGUCAAAAAUAUGCAUUAUUACAAAAAGUCAAUAGUUUUUCCUUCCUGAAACAAUCUGGGUUAUGCAGGAGUUGUUCUAAAGUACAUCCUACUUCUACUGAUUGGCUAAAGUAACUCUGGGCUGUGUCUGUGAUGAGACACUGCAAAACCUCUCAGAUCAUCACGGAAACCCAUAGCUACUGUAUCAGAUUUGAUUACUGUAUUUCCUCGAUCACUAGCCGUGGCUACUAUAAGUUUCAGCUGAAGUCGACGGGGGCUGCUAUUCAAGGGUGGUCACCAUCGAGAGCGACUACUAUUACUUUUAUAGCAAACACGUGGCCAGUCACGCCUGCAUGUGAUGGCACCCGUCACUCUCCAUGUGUGUGCACCAUUGUGUAGAAAUCAAGCAAACUUGAGCUAAAUGUUGCUAGACAUGGAAAUUAAGAGUUUUAUCAGAAGACACCAUGUCCACAAGGCAAUAAUGAACCCGGUAAUAGGAGAGAAACUAUAGGUCUUGCCAGAGAACGACAACAUGCACUCGACCAAGCACACGUGGCACAUUAAUUAAUGAAAAUUUAAUUAACUGUGGCUUCUAUUAGAAGGCGGCUACUAUUACAAUAGUUGUAAGCACAGAGGGGGCUACUAUUUGAAAGACGACUUCUAUUUGAGGAAAUAUGGACACAGCUUCAUUUGGCUUACUUUUGAAUUGACACUGUUACAAUCUAAAUGGUUCAACCCAUUGCUUAAGCUAUGAAUUCAGAUCCAUACAAGCUUUAUCCUCCACCUUUUGAGACAAAUUAGCUCGCAGACUCAUACAUUUUUUGUCUCCCUCUCUUGCUUCAAGGAAGGAUUUGUUUGAAAUAAAGAUUUUACUUUCGUUUAAAGAUAAUAUUGAUACCUUGAUUCAAUGAGGGUUGUUGUUAUUAUUUGUUUCUAUUUCUUAAUUAUGACUAUUUAUGUUUUCAUUUGUA